GCCAUGAGAAAACUGUUUCUUGUGGAGAAGUCUCCAUGGCAUGGCAAGAGAAAAUUCCUCUCCCUACAAGAACUGAUGGAAGACUAUUGUAGAAGCGAUUUUGCUAUGAAAGCAACAGUGGCUAUCAGAAGUGUCUGCUCUCCCUUGCCAACACCUCCUGAUGACUCAAUGGCUCACCACUAAGUUUCAUGCAUGAGCAAUAAGGACUCAGAGAUUAUGUUUUUCAUCCAGAGCCUCCACCCACAUGGAAUGGCAAUAUGCUGUCACCAUCAGUACACCUGCAUGGAGGACAGAAGAAGAGCAGCUCCCUUCUGUGAGUCACCAUGCUCCCAUCUGAAACAUUCAGUAUGAUUAGCAAGGAGUCUUGUAAGUAUGCUUUUCCUCCAUCUGGCAGUUUGAUCCAUGUUCCCCUGUCAUAAUUUUUGAUGGAUUCAUCUCACACAUAAUGCAAGACUGUCUCACGGUUGUUUAAAAAGCGAGGCAGGUGCUAGAAUUCCAGAGCAGAGACCUUCCCGCCAUGUCUCUGCUGGCUGGUGUUAUCCACUGUGUGCUAGGACGAGCACCUCACCUCACAGCAGUCUCCAUCCCUAUGUUUGCCACGACAGAAACAUUUUUGACAGUAUAAAAGAAAGUGUAUCCAAUGGUGACCACUACCAGAACAAAAGAGCAAGGCUGUGCACUAGCCAGUGUUUUCAUGAGCAAAGCUAGCACCGCCCACACACACUUGUGAGAGAAAGAGGUGUAAAGGUGACGCCAACACUGUUAGGGACAACUACAGUUGAGGGAGGGGUAGAGGUUCAUUUUCAAAUGAAAAGUGGGAGUACAGCUCUCAGAUGAGUCAGUGAGGAAGAGCCCCCGCAGAGGAGUCUCACACCUCUUUACUGCGUUGCAGAACUGAUUCUUGCUGCCUCUUUGCUCCUGUCCUACUUUCUAGGAAAACUGCAAAAGUUCACUGCAUUCUCACAAUGCCCCCAACAGCAAUUCUGAGCAACCUGCACUACUGCAGCACUCAUUAAGCCAUACAAAGAGAAAUCGAAAGAUGACAGACAACGUUUUUCACUCCUCUUUGCAUGAGUAAGAGCUGAUCCUGACUUGCAUGAGGCAGAGAAGGAGCAUAUCUGAGACUUUCUAUGAAUCUCACAAGCAUGUAACAGGAAGGUUUUACAUUUCUGUACAGAAAAUGAUGGUGCAGAGAGAAUAAAGAAGUAAUCUGCAAACUCCAUUUUAGGCCUUCAUUACUGGUUAGAGGACAAAUUCUGUCACCACGACACCAAUACGUACCCGGAGAUGUGCAUUAACAACAUACCCAUCAAGAAUACCACUGAAAAACUUGAGAGCCCAGCCAUUAUAUGGCAUCAUGGUCAGAACUCUAUUACAUCCUCUCCUUUUCAUAGUGUCAGACCAAAAAUUUCAAUGUAAAUAACAUUUUGGCAUCCUUCUUACAGGACCCAACCUGCAGAUGUUCAUCCUACCAGUGGCAAGACACACUAGCCCAUGUCUUGUGAUCCUUCGGAACAGGGUGAUGGGAAAACAACAGCGAACUGGUGAUUUGUUCUGUUGUACCUCGUCCAGUUCACCCUUACUUUCAGAGAAAGGGUUCUCAAGAAGAGAGUGCUUUCAUCUUUUUUUUAUCUUUGCAAAUCCUUGACUUACCAUGUACUAGGAGAGAGGACCAAUUGGACUGUAUUUCCAGGUGAAGACAGUCCUGAUCUGUGGCAACUGCUUUGAGUUCACAAUUCUAAUCUGUCUAUAUGUUAGAUUUUAAUCAAACAUUAGGUAACAUCUGUAUCACUGAAAUUAAGAUCUUUAAAAGCUCAUGAAAAGAACUGGGUUGCAAUUCUUCCAAGUAAAAUUUUAAUAGGCUCUUGUUCUUCCCUCCACUUUAUUUGCACUUGCAAACUUCUAUCUGAGGAAGCUGUAGAAUUGCCAGCACAAAAGGAAGUAUUUCUUACACACUGUACCCAGACUAGUGGGGCUGAUUCUUAAUGAUGACCACAAGUCAGCAUGUUUGCAAGCAGUCCAGAAGCAUCAUUCACUCAUUCAGCUUCCAACACAGGCUGAUUUAUAAAGCAACUCCUGGCUGUUAGGGUAACUUGUCACAGACAGAACCAGUUUACGACCUACCAAGGAUUCCUAAUGUCUAGUGGCACCCUGCUAUUUAUGUAUACUGAGCAUCAGAACUCCUCUGACAUCCUGCCUCUUGGGCACAGGAGUUUCUGGGAGUAAGAUACUGGUAAGUAUUUCUCAGGCAAGACUAGCAGCUCAGCAAGACUCAUCCAUUAUCAGAAAAUAACCUUUACAACGAAAACUUCUUUAAUAGGCUGAUACUGAGAAUGUGCUCAAGAAGGUACAAUAUUGAAGCCUGAAGCAGAAAUUAAGAGGAUGUAGCAAGAUCUCAUUGUAAGGGUCUUAAAUAACAGUGAAGCAUCCUUGUUUCUGCAGGAACCUUCAUUAUGUUAUUUAUCUCAGAGAAAAACCCAAACCAAAAAACCUCUGAUUACAAACAUACCAAGCAACAUUUUGAAAAUGGUCGUUGGACAAUACCAAAAGCUCUGACAGUUUCAGAACUUUGUAUUUUGGGUUCAAAUUUAUUCUUAACCAGACUACAAUUCUAUUUUAAAGCUCUUCCUUUGCUAUAAUACAUUUAAAGAGGUGACAGAGGCCCCUUCAACCUUCACUCUGUGAGAGGAAACAAGCCCAGUUCUUUCAGACACUGUUAAUAAAUCUCUUUUUAAUUCUC